UUCCCAGCCCCCAGUAGUGGGCAUCUUAUAAAGCAAGCUGUUUUUUUAAAAUUUUAUUUUCGUUCAUGUGCAUUGAUGUUUUGUCUGCAUUCAUGUCUGUGUGAGGGUGUUGGAGCCCCUGGAACUGUAGUUACAGACAGUUGUGAGCUACCAUGUGGGUGCUGGGAAUUGAACCUGGAUCCUCUAGAAGGGGAGCCAGUGCUCUGAACCACUGAGCCAUCUCUCCAGCUGCAAGAGAGCUGUUUUCUAAAGAAUGACUUUUAGAUGUGUGUGUGUGUGUGUGUGUGUGUGUGUGUGUGUGUGUGUGUGUGUGUGUGUAUGUGUGUGUGGGUGUGUGUGUGUGUUCUUGUUGUUACUGUUGAUGGUGUGGAUAUGCAUGUGUGUGGAGGCCAGACACAAUAUUUUGAUCUAUUUCCACCUCACUUAACUGGAUCUAGGCAAGUGGCCAGCAACCCCUGGGAUUCCUUGUUUCCACCCAGCACAGGCUGGGGUUACUGGUGCACACUGGGGUUACUGGUGCACACUGGGGUUACUGGUGCACACACUGGGGUUACUGGUGCACACUGGGGUUACUGGUGCACACUGGGGUUCCUGGUGCACACUGGGGUUCCUGGUGCACACUGGGGUUCCUGGUGCACACUGGGGUUACUGGUGCACACACUGGGGUUACUGGUGCACACACUGGGGUUCCUGGUGCACACUGGGGUUCCUGGUGCACACUGGGGUUACUGGUGUGUACACUGGGGUUCCUGGUGCACACACUGGGGUUACUGGUGCACACUGGGGUUACUGGUGUGUACACUGGGGUUACUGGUGCACACACUGGGUUCCUGGUGCACACUUCAAAUUCCACCAAGGCUAAAAAACAUUUAUAGUUCUCACUGAACAUCGACUCCCCACCAACUUUCUGGAAAAAAGUGAAAUAAAGUCCUCCCACGAGACUUUAAAAAUGUAAACUCUCAAUUCCAGUUGUCGGGGUAACAUCCUCACGCUGCCGGAGUUCCAUUUCUAUAUUUUGGUGCUGAUGGACAUCCGUUACCAUGAGAACAGAAAGGGCAUCACACAAAGUGGAUUUGGGUGCUUCUCUUCCCGUCUGGUGAAAAACAAGAUCCACAGGGACAGCCUCAGCUCAGCGCAGAGACCCCAGAGCCGAAUGAUGACAGUUGCUGGGUGUGAUGGUGCACGCCUUCGAUCCCAGCACUUGGGAGGCAGAGACAAGUGGAUCCCUCUGAUUCUGAAGCCAGCCCGUGUUGUUUUCAUUAAAUUCAGUAGCUGCCCCUUAA